rnacentral:rRNA from 1 species
GCAGUCGAACGAGAUCUUCGGGUCUAGUGGCGCACGGGUGCGUAACGCGUGGGAAUCUGCCCUUUGGUUCGGAAUAACAGUUGGAAACGACUGCUAAUACCGGAUGAUGACGAAAGUCCAAAGAUUUAUCGCCAGAGGAUGAGCCCGCGUAGGAUUAGCUAGUUGGUGUGGUAAAGGCGCACCAAGGCGACGAUCCUUAGCUGGUCUGAGAGGAUGAUCAGCCACACUGGGACUGAGACACGGCCCAGACUCCUACGGGAGGCAGCAGUGGGGAAUAUUGGACAAUGGGCGAAAGCCUGAUCCAGCAAUGCCGCGUGAGUGAUGAAGGCCUUAGGGUUGUAAAGCUCUUUUACCCGGGAUGAUAAUGACAGUACCGGGAGAAUAAGCUCCGGCUAACUCCGUGCCAGCAGCCGCGGUAAUACGGAGGGAGCUAGCGUUGUUCGGAAUUACUGGGCGUAAAGCGCACGUAGGCGGCUUUGUAAGUUAGAGGUGAAAGCCUGGAGCUCAACUCCAGAACUGCCUUUAAGACUGCAUCGCUUGAAUCCAGGAGAGGUGAGUGGAAUUCCGAGUGUAGAGGU